rnacentral:lncRNA from 1 species
CCUAUAUAAACGACAGCAUCUAAAUGCAAUAAUAUUUGUAAAAAAUUCAAUGAGAAACAUUAUAGGUGUAGAAACACCGAAGGUGCGAAAGAGACAAUAAUGGAUAAUCUGCUAAUAUUUCUGCAAAAAAAAUAAUAAUAAAAAAAAACACGAAAUUGAAGCAGUAAAACUAUAUAUUGUGAUAAUCUCCAUCCUUAUAUGAUAAAGGUUCAGAAAAAAUGCGCUAUGUGUUGCCUUAAGGAGACUUGAUUCGACUAUCUUAGUUAACACUGAAGGCAGGAGGCUCCCUUGAUUAGACGUUCAACUUUAAACGCUUGGCCCACAAUGCCUCAAGGGCAACAUCCACAGCAUCUUGAAACCCUAGAUCAGUCGCAUUAGGGUGUGCAUAGGUGAGUCUCGGCAUCAAAUUUAUUACUGCGCUUCUCAUUCUCUCCACCUGCUCUCUCUCAAUCUUGAAAAGCUCUUCCUCAAUGCUAACUACCCUUUUGCUUCCAUUUCCCGUCUUCAAAGCAUUUUCAUCUAUGUAAACUGAAUACUCUCUCGCAUCCCCAGCUGGAAAAAACCACUCAUACUGAGUAUACACAGUGUGAGGUGAGAAAAACACAGGUAUGCAACCUGCCAACACUGAGUCAAAAGUUGACCUCCGAGUGAACGAGUCACCGGGAGCUUGCAAGCAAAACUGGGACUGAGACAUCACCUUAAGUACCUCAAUUGGGUAAUGGCAUUUACUGGGUCCUUUCCCACAUUUUAGAAGCUUGCAUCGACCUGACUCGCUGCACUGCCUUAUUAACUCGUCCCUUACAGCAGCUUUCUCAACUCCUCUACGUGGCCCCCCUAUAAAGGAGAAGAGGUGGGGCCUACUUGAUUGUCUCAUCUUGUUCUGCCACGUCAUCAUCUCGUGUGACGUGUACGGGUGGAAAUAGGAAGGGUAAGGGAUGCCAUGUUGGUUGUGGACUCGAUCCCAAGGGUUUCGCUCUACAGUCAGCACCGACAUGUUUUGCACGUCUGGCAGAUUUAGGAGAGAGUUUCCAAAGUUGUUAUUUCUUCUCAAGAAAUCCCAUGCGGUCCUUCCUAGGACUAAGAAAUGGUCCUUACCGUGAUGCCUCUCCCACCAUGGUUUUGAUCGGAGAUAAUCUGCUAAUCGGACGGCUAGUUCAUCGCGUGCCGUGAGAUUUGCAUCGUGGAACUUGCUUGAGGCAUCGAGUCCACCAUAGAAUGGCACGUAGAAUAGCUUGGCAUUUAUAGGAUCCAAAACACGACAUGGAUGGUUCUCCAUACGAGCGUGAAAAAUCAUCUCCGCAAUGAACUGGUGGGUGGCAAACCAUGUGGUGGCGACGGCGGACUCUGCCAUGUAGGAGAGUGGUUGGCCUAAUCCGCGAUUUGCCACAUGAGGACACAUGUCAGUGUAAGGAUUUAGAUGGCUGCAAUCUUUAAGUAAACCCUUGUUGAACUCAGCGGGCAUGUCAUAUAAAUACACUGACAUUCCUCCUUCACACUUGGAUAUCGCAGAUGAUUUCGAUGUUGUCUUGGGCGCCUUUUCAUCUACGUUUAGUUUCUCGAUGUUGUUUUCGCUCGUGGAGGAGGACAAGAGAAAACAUCUUAGAAUAACAAACCAAACAGAAAGCAAGAAACAGAGUAGUAGAGCGUGUCUCAACUGUGGUUUAAGAAACGAGUAAUGUAUUUCGUUGGUUUUAGAGUACUUCCCUUUCUCCGUCCAUGGAGAUGCAGACGAUAUAGAUUUUUUCUUGACAACCAUUGCUGUAGAUGUCUCCGACCAUACAAAGCGAAAGGGAAGGAGAAGGAUUGGAAGGGUGGGGAGUGGAAGCCUUUCUGUUUCAAACAGGACAGAAAAAGGGGAUGAAACCUCUAAAAAUGGUGGCCUGAGUGACAGAACAAGUCAAAGACUGGUGAGCUCCAUGGAGUUUGGUGAGGACAAAAUUUCCAUUAAUGAAAGAAGGAAAAAGUUGUCGUCCCCCCGAAAAGAAAAGGAAAUAAAGAUGGAAAACAUAUUAACACUGGGACAAUUUAUGGUAGACGAAUCGGAAUAGGACAAGUUUCCAUAUAUAUUCAUGAGCAAUCUCCAUUGACGUGCCCUAAUCUCAUCAAAUAUAUAUCCAAAAACAAGGAUUUACUAUUUACUCGGAGUUUAUCUACCAUAAUUUGGAUUAGAAAAUCGAGUAGAAUGGUUGAAUUCUCCCGGUAAUCAAUGCUAUAUAUAAUCAAUACGUGCACGUCAUCACUCAAAUUAAUUAUGCGGUGGUAUACACGUUACUCAAAUUAAUUAUGCGGCGGGCCCUGAAAAAAUCAAAAUUCUUCUGAUAUUCAUUUUUCUGUGGUUGGUAACUUUCAAUCAUUGACCAAACAAACAUGUACCUUUCAAGAUUGAAGAUCAUUCUUCAAUAUUGAAAUAAUCAGCGAAGAGCACUUCCAUUCUAGAGCUCUGCUGGCCCUCUGAUGAUGAUAUCUUAGGUUUCCUGCAAGUCAUUUUCCCAGCAAUGCUAAAACGGAUUCACAAGUCCAUUUCCAACACCCUGUCUGUUGUCCCACUGCAGCAGACCCUCCCAUCUUCAUAUGAUUGCUUCCAAUUAAAAUAUGAACCGACGGGCACUGAAAUUUCUCUACUUCAAAUAAUUAGUUUCAUGACAUUCUUUUUUUAAAAAAAAAGAUAUAUACCCUAUUUCAAAGUGUUUUUUUAUAUAAAAAAAAUCAAAGUAAAUAUUAAAAAGUUUAUACAAGUAUCUAAUUAAAUAAAUCAAUAACUUUCCUUAUAAAUAAAUAUAAAAAAAGUCAUUAACAAUAACUAUAAAAAAAUUUUAAAAAUUAAGAAAUGAACUUAGAUCAAGAUAUUUAAUCCUAUAAAACAAGAUAUUUGCUUAUUUAUGUUUGUUGAAUUUGAUUAUUAAAAUCAAUAAAAGAUAAUAGAAAUAGAAACACAUAUGGAACUAAUUGAGAAAAAUAAGAUGAAAAAAUAUUACGCAAAGCCGGACAUGUUAUAAAUAUUAUUUAAAAACAAAUAUUUUUUAUUUUUAAAAAUAAAAUUCAUCUAUAAGAAACAAAAAAAAUUAUAGAUGAAUCAUAAUAAUAUCUUCAAAAAUUAAACACAAACAAUUUUUUUAAGAAAGAUUUUUUCUUCGUAAACAUUGUAAAAGAUUGCCCAACAAGAGAGGGCAUCUAUUGUUACCCAUUUUUAACCCCACAAAAAAAUAUAGAAAAAAAAUCCAAAAAAUUCAAGAGGAUGCACUUGAAAAAAGCCUAAAAAAUUUUACAAGUUGGUGCUGAAAGACCAAAAUAACAAAUGAAAAAGUUGGAGGACUAGAAUGUACAAGAUUGACAAAUUAGCAACCCAAUUCUGAUUGAUAAAAGGUCCUAUUGGUGAUAAUAUUUUAUUUGGGGUAAAGAAAUACUAAUUUGAAUUAGUAAGGAUUCAAUAAGGAUUUUGAAAGGCUUAAUUAAUUUUAUCGAGAACUUAAUUGCAAGGAAAAUAAGUUUUUUGGAGUCAAUUUGAGUGUUAAUAAAAAAAAAUUGAAGUUUAGAAACUGAAAUUAAACUUUAAAUUGGUCAGAUAUAUGAAAACAUUAAAGUUUGAUUGCCAUUUAGAGUACUGCCAUCGUUUUUCCAACAGCUCCCAAUGUCCAUCAGGUAGAACUGGCUUCCUGGUCCACCUCCUUGUGUAAUGUUUAGCUUGAAUUUUACUUUAAAGUUUUGUGACUUUGGCACCUGUAUGAAUAUAUGAAAUAUUUUGAAAGUAUGAUACAUUGAUUAAUCAUUGGAUUUUGACAAGAAUGAUGUUAAAAUCUGUGUACUGUGUACUUAUCUAAGAAUUUGAAUCUGCAAUUUUCAAUUGAAAAGUCCAAAAUUCAGAAGAACGAGUAUGAGAGGAGAACGAAGGAAAAAAACAUAACUUACUAUUUUUGACAUGCCCCUUGUUUGGUAGUGAUAACCACCGGAGAAUCCUUUGGUGGCAUCCGAUCUUAGGUAUAGCAUCAACCAUGGAUACUUUGAGGAUGUUUUCAAGUAGAAAUGAAAGACCCAGCUUCCUUUCCCUAACUCCUUUUGCCAAGUGACAUUGAAAUAAGAGGUGCUGUUGUCGACAACUCCACUCUUGACAUUAGCAUCCAAGGUAUUGUUUCCAUGCACACCGGUAUAAUUAUGGUACAUCUUGGGCAUGUUCAUCCACCCUUCUCCAAAGCAUGGAAAACGAGAUUCCGGUGCAAAGGGCUCUGAUUUCUUGCCAUUUUCGGGGCAUCUAGCAGCUAAAGUGUCCAUGUUACCACUCUUGAGCAUGAUCAUCCAGAAUUGCCAUGGUUUCGGAUAGUCCUUUACUUGGCAUUUGUUACCCAAGUACAGCUGCUUCUUAGGCGCAUACCUGUCAUAACUUCUGGCCUUUAUUCUUCCGUAGGUAUCAUUCAAUAAGCCCAGCCUGUUCUCAUCCUCACUCACCUUGUGAAUUAAGUUGACUUCAUCAAGAAUCAUGGAAAGAAGAAAGGAAAAGAGCUUAGCAACCAUAUACUAACAAAAAAGUCCUAUCACAGAAAACAUAAUCCUAUGAUUUCAAAGAUCUUGUUGUUUCUUCGGGCAUCAAAUGCAAAAAGUCUGUCAAAUGAGUUACAAUUUAAAACAUAUUUUUAUCUCACGUUAUUAGUCUUUCUUUAGUUAAUUGGUAACAUGCAGAAACAUGGAAUUGAGGGGCCUCCAAACUUUUUGUUAGUAUUGGUCAUUCAAGGGAAAAAGAAAUAAAUAAAUAAAAAAACUCGGAAUGAUCUUCCAUAGUCGGCACUCCUUUCCUAAACAGAAAUAUGCACUGACCUAGAUGCAUGAAGCCCAAAGAGCAUGGUGAAAUUCCAACGAGUAAUGUGAUAAAAACACGUGGACUAAGUAAUUAACAGAUACUAUUAGUAGAAUUACAUUGUUAAUUAGGAUUAAUAGGGUUUGUUCGGCCAUGAUUACAAGCUUAAGUAAAAUAGUUUUUGCAGAGAAAAGGUUUUAAGAAAAAUAUUGAUAUUAAUCAUGGAAAGCUUCUCUUAUAAUGAAUCCGUAACUUUGGCUUGAAUCUGUGAAAGGGUUAAAAAAAAAAAACAAUCCACUAGUUCCUCGCGUUCUUUUCUUGCGAAAUUGUAUUCAUAAUAAGUAACAGCGCAAAGAUGUAGAGGAACUAAACAUUUCUCACCAGAUGAUGUAGAAUGGUCAACAUCAAAGCAAUCUGCCAUUCUUGGACUUCCCAUGUUGACAGCUUCUUCUCCAACCUCAUUGCACUGAUUCCAUGCCUCAAUUGCCACCCUAAGGCCAUCCCUUCGCAUCCCUGGAUCACCAACAGCCGAUAUAAAAUCAUCAUUGCAAGCCAUAACUACAGAAGUGAAACAAGCAAGAAAAAGGAGUUGAAAAAAUCUCAAUGUGUCCAUUGUCAUCUCUGUAAAGUUGUGCAAAAGAAAGUGCUCCUUGAUUAUUCGAGGGCAAUACAAUUUGUAUAUGUGAGUACUUUAGCCUUUCUGUUCUAUUCAUCAUUGAAUUCUAGCUGAAGAGAAAAUCAGGUAAUGCAUCACGUAUCUAGAAGGAUAAUGGUAAUAUAAAUCUGGGUAAGGAUGAUAGUAAGUUGAGUUCUUGUAUAACUUCACCAGGUGAAAGCUAUGCUUCCUAGAUCAAGCAGUAUCCUACGGCAGUGGAACAUCGUUGGUUUGUUUGGACUCGGCAACUGGGUUGGCUAAGACAAACGUAAAUGCCAAACUUAUCCAUUUCUAAAUGGUAGCUCAUGUCAUAGUAGUUAUUGUGUUGUAUUUCUCUUUCUCAGAUCAAUCCCGCUAGUCUCCGAUUAGAUUGGGUUUGAAGCUUAGUUGAACCUUUUACUCUUCUCCAGAGCCAUUCGAAAGCAUCGUGAAUGCAUCAAUGAUCCCAUAUAUAUGUAUGCCGAGUACAUGGGACUAGGAGCCAAAAAAUUCAAGGAUUUCAUCUGCCAAUCAAUACCAGAAAAGUUCCCCUCUCAAUCUGUAAAUUGCCUGACAACACAUCCUCAACAGCAAACAUAUAUAUAUAUAUAUAUAUGUUUUCCCUUUUAAACAAGCUAUCAAAUAAAGGCAUUCUGAAAACUUAUCCCAUCUUGCACUAAAAAUUCAAGAAGUUCAGCACAUAAAAUUGCAAAUAAACGCAUCAUCUGCCUUCGUAUUCCAAAUUCUAUCAUAUUGUUCGUAUAACAGUGUUGGUCCGAUUCCAUAACAGCACAUUUCGUCACCCCAUUCAACAUAAUGUUUCAUAUAUCUGUUUUUACAUAAAGUAUUGCAAGUCUUACAGAAAUUUUCUGAACUAAUAGUUAUAGCUCAUUUAUUUCUAACAACUUUCAAAGCACCUCUUAUAUAACAAAUUUUACAUAUUCAUAGGACAGAAUUCGGCCAAAUUUUAGGCGUGACCAUCUUGUAUUCUCAAUGUAUCAAGAUAAGAUUUUCCAACAAGCUCACGAGAAAACAGGCCCUUGAAGUACUCUUUAACUGUAACUUCUUUAAACAAUGCUGGUGUUUGUUCGGUUACCAAGCUAGGAACUGGGCAUACUUUGCCAUCAAACCUCGGGGAAUGGAAUGAAGCAAUUGAAAGUCUUUCCUUCUUAGAGUUUACUGUUGCACGAUGCUCGAUGCUACGAUAUGCACCAUUGGUUACAAUCUGCCACAUAAAUGUACAAAAGUUGAAUUAAAUGGCCCAUUCAUCUUUCUUUCAUUGUCAAGCGAAGUUAAUGUUUAAAAUUUGAAGGUUCCUAAUGUCAACGCCAGUUAAUUACCUGGGAGGUUGAAGAAAUCCUGAAGUUGUGUCUUCAUUUUGUCUAACAACGAAGAGCUUACACAAUGGUUUACCAACUGAAAACAGAAAAUGCAAUUCGAAAGGAUCCUUGGCCAAUUCUUGAACACAGGGCACAAGCAGGGAGCUUCCAAGACUUGAUGGUUUGGAUGCCAUGUUUUUGCGCAAUAACUUAGUUAGCUUUUUUACUGAACACCCCUUGUUUUUGCUUUAAAACAUCUCAAGUCAAGGGUUAAAAAGCCCCAAUCCCAAGUCUUCAUGGCUUGCAAUUUUCUCAACUUCGGUUGAACUUGGAUCCUUGUUUUGUCCGUGAACCAUCAAACCCCAAACUGCCUCCUCCAAUUCUACAAAUUUUGGGUCCAUGUUUUCUUCUUCAUCUCUUUGGAGUCAGAUUUGGAGGCUUGACUUUGUUUAUAUCCGAUGAGAUUGUUCUGGACCGACCUCACUGCUUGUUUCUAGAAUUUGAGGCCACUUUGCAUGUGUUUGUAAUUGCAGCGGUUAAAAUAAUACUGUUUGUUUAAAUUUUUUAAAAAAUUAUUUAAAAUUAAUUGUUUUAAUAUUUUUUAUAUUAUGUUUGCUGGUCCGUACUUCAUAGUGAGUUAAUAAUAUAUUUUUUAAAUGUAAAAAAAUAUUAAGAAUAUAAAAAAUAUUUUAAAUUUUUUGGGUUUGAUAAACAAGUCAGACCCAUGCCUGAGUCUUGAAAUGUUGACAGAACCGCGCGUGUUUGGUUCUGGCAACCAUGUCAGAGUCGCGCCUGGGUCUGACAUCAAACAUGGUUGCCCGACCAAAGGCUUUUGGGCUUGGUAUUAUUGUCAGAUUCAAGGAUAUUAGGUCUAGCGUUGUACCCAGACUCAAGUAGCUUGGGUCUGACAUGUUUUCUAGACCCAAGAUACUUGGGUCUGACAACUCUUGCCAGACCCAAGCAUACAACAAAUAAACAGAGAACAAUUGUGCACUUUAGUUAUCAUGAGAGGAAAAAAAACGCAAACAAUCGAUCACUGACAGCAAUCCAACCAUAAUAUCUCUACACGCAUCGCACCAUGUGGAAGAGGACACGUCUACUCAUCUAUCUAGACGGUGAAUGAACAGAUUUGGCUACCGGGAGGUGUCUCAUGCGCUUCUUUAAUAGCGCGAGCGCCACCCACUUGCUAGAGCGUGUGGAACACACUCCAACAACUUUUCAAAUAAAAAAUAAAAAAACAAUUGCAGCGGUUAAAAUAAUACUGUUUGUUUAACUUUUUUAAAAAAUUAUUUCAAAUUAAUUGUUUUAAUAUUUUUUAUAUUUUGUUUGCUGGUCCGUACUUCAUAGUGAGUUAAUAAUAUAUAUUUUAAAUGUAAAAAAAUAUUAAGAGUAUAAAAAAUAUUUUAAGUUUUUUGGGUUUGAUAAACAAGUCAGACCCAUGCCUGAGUCUUGAAAUGUUGACAGAACCGCGCGUGUUUGGUUCUGGCAACCAUGUCAGAGUCGCGCCUGGGUCUGACAUCAAACAUGGUUGCCCGACCAAAGGCUUUUGGGCUUGGUAUUAUUGUCAGAUUCAAGGAUAUUAGGUCUAGCGUUGUACCCAGACUCAAGUAGCUUGGGUCUGACAUGUUUUCUAGACCCAAGAUACUUGGGUCUGACAACUCUUGCCAGACCCAAGCAUACAACAAAUAAACAGAGAACAAUUGUGCACUUUAGUUAUCAUGAGAGGAAAAAAAACGCAAACAAUCGAUCACUGACAGCAAUCCAACCAUAAUAUCUCUACACGCAUCGCACCAUGUGGAAGAGGACACGUCUACUCAUCUAUCUAGACGGUGAAUGAACAGAUUUGGCUACCGGGAGGUGUCUCAUGUGCUUCUUUAAUAGCGCGAGCGCCACCCACUUGCUAGAGCGUGUGGAACACACUCCAACAACUUUUCAAAUAAAAAAUAACAAAACAAUUGCAGCGGUUAAAAUAAUACUGUUUGUUUAACUUUUUUAAAAAAUUAUUUCAAAUUAAUUGUUUUAAUAUUUUUUAUAUUUUGUUUGCUGGUCCGUACUUCAUAGUGAGUUAAUAAUAUAUAUUUUAAAUGUAAAAAAAUAUUAAGAGUAUAAAAAAUAUUUUAAGUUUUUUGGGUUUGAUAAACAAGUCAAGCAAGUUAGACCCAUGCGUGAGUCAUGAAAUAUUGACAGAAGCGUGUUUGGUUCUGGCAACCAUGUCAGAGUCGCGCCUAGGUCUGACAUCAAACAUGGUUGCCCGACAAAAGGCUUUUGGGCUUGGUAUUAUUGUCAGAUUCAAGGAUAUUAGGUCUAGCGUUGUACCCAGACUCAAGUAGCUUGGGUCUGACAUGUUUUCUAGACCCAAGAUACUUGGGUCUGACAACUCUUGCCAGACCCAAGCAUACAACAAAUAAACAGAGAACAAUUGUGCACUUUAGUUAUCAUGAGAGGAAAAAAAACGCAAACAAUCGAUCACUGACAGCAAUCCAACCAUAAUAUCUCUACACGCAUCGCACCAUGUGGAAGAGGACACGUCUACUCAUCUAUCUAGACGGUGAAUGAACAGAUUUGGCUACCGGGAGGUGUCUCAUGCGCUUCUUUAAUAGCGCGAGCGCCACCCAGUUGCUAGAGCGUGUGGAACACACUUCAACAACUUUUCAAAUAAAAAAUAAAAAAACAAUUGUAGCGGUUAAAAUAAUACUGUUUGUUUAAAUUUUUAAAAAAAUUAUUUAAAAUUAAUUGUUUUAAUAUUUUUUAUAUUAUGUUUGCUGGUCCGUACUUCAUAGUGAGUUAAUAAUAUAUUUUUUAAAUGUAAAAAAAUAUUAAGAGUAUAAAAAAUAUUUUAAAUUUUUUGGGUUUGAUAAACAAGUCAGACCCAUGCCUGAGUCUUGAAAUGUUGACAGAACCGCGCGUGUUUGGUUCUGGCAACCAUGUCAGAGUCGCGCCUGGGUCUGACAUCAAACAUGGUUGCCCGACCAAAGGCUUUUGGGCUUGGUAUUAUUGUCAGAUUCAAGGAUAUUAGGUCUAGCGUUGUACCCAGACUCAAGUAGCUUGGGUCUGACAUGUUUUCUAGACCCAAGAUACUUGGGUCUGACAACUCUUGCCAGACCCAAGCAUACAACAAAUAAACAGAGAACAAUUGUGCACUUUAGUUAUCAUGAGAGGAAAAAAAACGCAAACAAUCGAUCACUGACAGCAAUCCAACCAUAAUAUCUCUACACGCAUCGCACCAUGUGGAAGAGGACACGUCUACUCAUCUAUCUAGACGGUGAAUGAACAGAUUUGGCUACCGGGAGGUGUCUCAUGCGCUUCUUUAAUAGCGCGAGCGCCACCCAGUUGCUAGAGCGUGUGGAACACACUCCAACAACUUUUCAAAUAAAAAAUAAAAAAACAAUUGCAGCGGUUAAAAUAAUACUGUUUGUUUAACUUUUUUAAAAAAUUAUUUCAAAUUAAUUGUUUUAAUAUUUUUUAUAUUUUGUUUGCUGGUCCGUACUUCAUAGUGAGUUAAUAAUAUAUAUUUUAAAUGUAAAAAAAUAUUAAGAGUAUAAAAAAUAUUUUAAGUUUUUUGGGUUUGAUAAACAAGUCAGACCCAUGCCUGAGUCUUGAAAUGUUGACAGAACCGCGCGUGUUUGGUUCUGGCAACCAUGUCAGAGUCGCGCCUGGGUCUGACAUCAAACAUGGUUGCCCGACCAAAGGCUUUUGGGCUUGGUAUUACUGUCAGAUUCAAGGAUAUUAGGUCUAGCGUUGUACCCAGACUCAAGUAGCUUGGGUCUGACAUGUUUUCUAGACCCAAGAUACUUGGGUCUGACAACUCUUGCCAGACCCAAGCAUACAACAAAUAAACAGAGAACAAUUGUGCACUUUAGUUAUCAUGAGAGGAAAAAAAACGCAAACAAUCGAUCACUGACAGCAAUCCAACCAUAAUAUCUCUACACGCAUCGCACCAUGUGGAAGAGGACACGUCUACUCAUCUAUCUAGACGGUGAAUGAACAGAUUUGGCUACCGGGAGGUGUCUCAUGCGCUUCUUUAAUAGCGCGAGCGCCACCCACUUGCUAGAGCGUGUGGAACACACUCCAACAACUUUUCAAAUAAAAAAUAAAAAAACAAUUGCAGCGGUUAAAAUAAUACUGUUUGUUUAACUUUUUUAAAAAAUUAUUUCAAAUUAAUUGUUUUAAUAUUUUUUAUAUUUUGUUUGCUGGUCCGUACUUCAUAGUGAGUUAAUAAUAUAUAUUUUAAAUGUAAAAAAAUAUUAAGAGUAUAAAAAAUAUUUUAAGUUUUUUGGGUUUGAUAAACAAGUCAGACCCAUGCCUGAGUCUUGAAAUGUUGACAGAACCGUGUUUAGUUCUGGCAACCAUGUCAGAGUCGCGCCUGGGUCUGACAUCAAACAUGGUUGCCCGACAAAAGGCUUUUGGGCUUGGUAUUAUUGUCAGAUUCAAGGAUAUUAGGUCUAGCGUUGUACCCAGACUCAAGUAGCUUGGGUCUGACAUGUUUUCUAGACCCAAGAUACUUGGGUCUGACAACUCUUGCCAGACCCAAGCAUACAACAAAUAAACAGAGAACAAUUGUGCACUUUAGUUAUCAUGAGAGGAAAAAAAACGCAAACAAUCGAUCACUGACAGCAAUCCAACCAUAAUAUCUCUACACGCAUCGCACCAUGUGGAAGAGGACACGUCUACUCAUCUAUCUAGACGGUGAAUGAACAGAUUUGGCUACCGGGAGGUGUCUCAUGUGCUUCUUUAAUAGCGCGAGCGCCACCCACUUGCUAGAGCGUGUGGAACACACUCCAACAACUUUUCAAAUAAAAAAUAAAAAAACAAUAUAAAAAUACUAAAAUACCCCCAUAAUCCUCUUAACUACACAUCAUACCCAAGUAAAUUUCAUUGUCGCAAUCGACAAUAAUCCUUGUAUCUAUAGCUAUAGUUAAAACCCCACACCACACCAUUUAACUUUUUUUAUAAUAUUAAGAAUAAUUAAAAAAAUAUUAUUUUAAUAUAUUUAUAAAAAAAACACUUUAAAACAAACAGUAACUCUGUGCUUUGCCAUCUCGUCCCAUACAAAUCAGUGUGAAAACUACCCCCAGAUUAUACAACUGGCUUCAAACGGAUAAACCACACCAAACUAGAAUUAUACGUAUGUUUUUCCCGUGGGUAAUUAAUAGUAGCACAACUUUUAAGGAUAAAACUUGACCACAAUUACAUAUCACGACACCAAUGUUUUUCAUUGGAUGGUUAAUAAUAUUUUUCAAUUAGACUGCGCAUCUUCCUAAAUUAAAUUAUUUUUCUAGAAAUUAUCAAGAACACACCCAUUGCAUUAUUUUAGUACAUUCAAAAAAAAUAUAUUUAAAUAUGAGUUAAUUAUAUUUUAAAUGCGAGAUUUUUUAUUUUUUUUAUAUUUUAAUGUAAGAUUUUUUAUUUUUUUAUUUAAGUGUGUGGACUUUUAAUUGUUUUAAUAAAACAUUUAUGUUAAAUUUCAUCAAAUACAUGUUGUCGUAGUCAUUACAUUGACAAGUUGAUGUAGUUGCCAAGUGUACAUAAAUAUAUUACGCUUUAUUUGUUUUCUAUUUGAGUUUAUGUACUUUUCAGUGCUUCUAAUUUUAAAGCCUAACAAAUGUCCACUUUGAAAUCUUAUAUUGGCCAUAUUAUUAAAUUUUAAAUUAAAAUAAUAAAUAGUAAUAAAAAUAUAUUAAAACUAGAAUAGAAUAACAAUAAAAGGCAUAAAAAGGUAAUUCAAUGAAAAAUAAAAAACAGAAAGAAAUGGAAAAAAUAUAGUUUUCCAUCGAAGCUUUUUUGUAUAUAGGAGAGUUAACCUCCCUAUCCUUUGAGGAGGUGUUCAGGUUCUUUUGUGUUAGGCUUAAUUUUAGAGUUCUUAAAAUAAUUAAGGGACAAUUGGUGUGAAAGCGCAAGAAAAAAAAAUUUAAUUGAUUAGGUUUUCUAUUAUAAUCCUUUUAUUAAUUAAGGGUACUAUAUCUAAUAGGGAGAAUAUUAUUAAUUACAUAAUAAUGUAGAGAAUUAAAAAAAAUAAAAUCCUAUAAUAAUUUAUGCUCUAUUUUGUUAGAAGAUUAAAACCUACAUUAACAAAGAGAGAAUAAAUGAGGAGAUUUGAUUUAAGAUCAAAAUCUUUUUUUUUAUCAAUUUAAGUUAUUUGUUCUCUCUCCUUACUUUUUAAUUGAGUUUUUGUAUGCAUAUUAAGAUUAUUGAGAAAUGUUAAGGAAUUAGGGCUUUUAUGACAUUUGAUUUUUUAAAAUAAUUUUUAAGGAGUAAGUGUUAUACUAAUAGAGUCUUAGAUUGAUAGGAAGUCAUUGAAUGUGAUUUUAUAUCUUUUUGGUAGCUUAUUUAGAUUUGGUGAACCAGUCGAUUGGUUCCUGGGUAACUGGUAGCCAUGUCUGAAACUAAAAUAUUCUGAGAAGAAUGCCAGAGUUGUUCAAACCUGAUCUCUACCAUUCAGAACAAAGAGGACACCUAUGCAAACCCUCCUAAGAAAUAUAAAGCAGAUCCAAUGGUGAACGAAGGAGAAUUGAGCCGGAGGCUAUGGCUUUCCAGAACUCAAUUUUCCAGAAAUAAUGCGGUGGUGAGAUCUCUCAAAAAGCAAUAGAUCACUGGUUAGUUUGUAAAGCAUAACCUAGUGCACAACAUACUAAAAACCUAAAUGAAUCCAAUGGUGGAUGGUGAAGUUAUGGCUCUGGCAGUCUGUUUCUCUCGUUGAUCUCUCUCAAACCUUUUCUCUCUUAACAAUUACUAUUUCACUUCUCAUGCUAACAUGUGUGCAUACAUGUCAUAACAUCUUAUUGAAGUAAACAAUUGCCUGAAUUGAAUCGAGCAUUUUUCAAGUAUUGAUUAUAUUUUUCAUUACCUUUAUGGAUAAAAAUAAAUAAAUAAAUAAAUAAAGGAAAUUGUAACUACAAAGUAGCCCACAAAGUGGUGCACUUAUGCAGUCAUUCAUAAUAUAAAUCAACAUGACAAAAAAAUCAUCAUUUUCUAGUUAGCUAUUCACAUGAUCAAAGACAUAAAACCAUCCAAAUUUGGCUUAAAAAUGGGCCAAAUUGCAAAAAGUAAAUCACAACUUGACCUUUCAUAUGCCUGUUACGUUGCUAGUUGUCACAUCUCUGUAUAGAUGCAAUCGAUAAAAAAUUGCACUAUAUGCACCCGUACUCAAAGAACUCAGCAUUAUAUAUACCAAAUAGGCAGUGCAUUCAUGUUAUUAAGAAACUAAUGUCUCUAAAUUGGACUAAAACUCCCUAAAUUUUGACACUUUAAUUGUAUUGCAUUGCAUUGCAUUGGUGGUUGGUGUGAUUUUUAUUUAUCAACUCCAAGUACAAGUAAUUUUUUAUUAGAAAACAUGUUAGAAAACACAUACUAAAAAUCUAAGAAGAAAAAGGCAUACUUUGGUAGGGAGAGAGAUGACAGACUAAGAGAGAAUGGUAGAAGGACAAAGAGAGCAUUGCCAUUAAAGAAGAACAGAGAGAGUGUCAUCCACCUAAAACAAGAAAGAAAGCGCCGACAUUAAAUUAGCAAAGAGAGAGAGAGAGAGAGAGAAAGAGAGAGAGAAAGAGAGACUGAGAGAGAAUGAUGGAAAUGGGGGAAAUAAAGGAGAAAGCUAAGGAUUGCCACGAUAUAUCUGGCUUAAAUUCACUGAUGGAAAUCUUAUCGGUAUAUUUGUCAGUAUAUAUCCACGUCAUCACAUUAACUGACAGUUUUACUGAUGAAAUAUUUUAAAAACAAUUGUAAAUUGUUGAUUAAUCUGUCAGUGAUUUAAAAUCUUCAGAAAUCUUAUUGGAAAACUCCAGAAUUCACUGAUGAUUUUUCAUUUAUUUAUAUUUUCAUCGGUAAAUUACACUAAAUUUUUUCCAAACUCUCUGUAAUUCUCCGACUUUUUUAUAUUCCAUCGGUGAAUCUGUUUGUGUUAUCCAAUUUCAUGAUUUUCUUCCCAAACACUAUGUAACUCUCUAACUAUUUUAUGUUUCGUCGGUUAUUACACUAUCAUUGACGUAGAUAUAUCCAUUGAAAACUUGUCUGUUAAAAUUAAUUUUUUGAUUUAUCCCUAAGCUCUCUAUAAUUCUCCAACAAUUUAAUAUCUGUCGGUGAUGUCCGUCGGUGAUAUUACACUCACCGAUGAAAUAAAUCACUAACAAAUGUAUGUAAUAAAUUAUAAUUUAUUAGUUCUGUUAGUAAAUCCAUCGGAGAUGUAAUAUUUUUUAUGAUCCCUACCCAAUCUAAUUAAACAGCAACACCUGCAUUCAUCACUUAAAAAACAACAACUUAUUUAAAACCAUAUUCUUCAACAAUAAACACUUGAUAUAUGUACAAAACAUAAUGCAAUAUUGAACAACAAUAAAUAUCUUAAUUAUAUUACAAUGUUUUAUAUAAAAAAUGAGUUCAAAUCCCAUGUUUAAAUUGAAUUUUCAUGAUCUUUAUUGUCAUUUUCAUGUUCAUCAUCAUCUCCUUCGUUGAACUGAAAUUGUUCGAGCCCUUCAUCUUCAUCAACUUCGGUGUUGUUACCUAUUUUUUAACACACAUAAAAAAGUAAUAAAAAUAAAAAAUAAAAAAAAUACAAGAGGAAAUAAAUGAAGAAAGCCUAGGACAUUGCCCAAGAUUGGUGGUGGAGGACCAAGAUCACAAAUGAAAAACACAAAGGACUAAAAUGUAUAAAAUUAGCAACCCAAUUGUGACUAAAAAAAGACCCCACUAGUGAAAAUAUUUUUAUUUGGGGUAAAAAACACAAAUUUGGAUGGGUAAGGACUCGGUGAAAAUUUUGGAAGACUUAAUUAAUUUUAUUAAGGAUUUAAUUGCAAGAGAAAUCAGUUUGUAGAAUCAAUAUGGGUGUUAAUUAGAAGAAAUUGAAGUUUGGGGAUUGAAAUUAGACUUUGGAAGGUUUAAUUGGUUAAAUCAGGGGCUUAAUUAUGAAAAAAAAAUAAAGUUUAGAGGCCAUUUAGGACUUAAUUAUAGAUUUCCAAGACUAAGGACCAACUUGUAAGUGGCAUGCAAUUUCAGGAUAGAAAUUGGUGAAAUCAGGAGCCAAAUUGAAAGAAAUUGAGGAUUUAGUGGUCAAUUAAGAAUGAAAUUGAGCAAAUUAAAAACCAAUGACACGUUUAUAAAAGGUAUUGAAGUUUGGGGCUAAUAUUUAAAUUUAGUAGAGGUGCAAUUGCAUACAAUCAAACGUUGGGAGACAAUCACAUGUGCAAUUAAAAGGAAUUGGAAGAGGAGGGAUCAAAUUAAAAUUGGCCAAAUCCCAAAUUCAAAAACCCUAAUUUCUAGGGUUUAACCUAGAAGACGUGUCGUUCACCCGCAGUUCAUCUUCUUCCUGAGCAAUUUUAGUUUGUUGAGUAGGCAUCUUCAGGUGAAUGAAUAUGGCGUUUCUGACCACCUCAGGGGCUGUAACCACCAUCAUUCAACAAAAAAACACCCUCUCUACAACCUUGUACCUAUGAAAUUAGACAUUUACACCCUAAUUCUUCCAUAGAAGUCUCCAACAUCUUAUCCCCGAUCAACUUUCCUUGCAUUUUUAAAUUCUAGGCUAGUCGAGUUGGCACCUUUUGGUGAAUGAAUGUGAAACUACAGGCCUCCAAAUUAAAUAAGGUUAGAUCCAAAUAAAAAGUGUGCACAUCCUCUACCAACUUCAGGUGGUCUUAGGCAACGUUGAUGUCAGAGUUGCUCCAACAAGGCCUCAAAAGUGGCCAACCUAUACAACCAUGACUAUGACACCCAUUUAGAAAAACCACUCACUUUUUUAUAUGUUCACACUCAAAACUUUCUCAAUAGGUUCUUAUCAAGGGUUGAUCAAAUUUAUUUCAAAAUUAAAAGGCCAAAAAACAACUUAUUGGUCUCAUAGUUUGGCAAAACCACUAAAACCAAAACCACCACUGCAAAACCAACCUUAUAUAGAGCUUUCAUCUAUUGUUUUUUUUUUAAUCUAAAACCCUUUCAUUUCAAUUUGAGCACUAAGAUUGAUCAAACAUGAUCAAUCAUAAUCAUGAUCAAUCUUUGAUUGAAUCUAACAAAAAUCCUUAGCCAAACCCGUUAAAUAACCCCUGAAAAUCAGAACUGAGAAGAGGGGAAAAAAGAGAGAAAGGGAGGAGAGAAACAUUGAGAAAAUAACCUAGUUGUGAGGGUUUACGAGCCUAACACAAGGGUUUAUUCAGUUUUGAAAGGGCACUAAGUUUGUGAAAUCAAAACUUUACAAAGAAAACAGUAGUUGUUCUAGGGUUUUGAAGGUAUAUUUUCUAACCUAAAAGUGGAGUCUAUGUGGCCCGAUUUAGAAGAUUUUGGUUGUCAUUUGGUCUAAAUUUAUAUUUGCAAAUAGGGUGAUAAGGUUUUAGAAUGCUUAAAAGAGUAAGGGCUAUGUUUUUGUUUUUGUUGUUAUGAUUUUGAUUUUACGGUUUGAUGUUGUUUUUAAAUUGUGUUUGAUGUUUUUAAUAUGACAAAAGCUUUCUUCUUAGGUUAGUUUUGAUAAAACAAUAUUUGUUUGUUUUGUUUGAUUAAUGCAUUGUGAAGCAAUAUUAUUGAUCCUAGGUUUACAAAGCUUGUUCAUGACCAAAAUAUAUCUAGGAAACUAAUUUUUAAUUCAAAUUGCAUAUAUAUGUAAGCUAGUUAAGUUUUGGCAGUUAUAGGAAUUGAAACUUUAUGCAUGUUAUUAAUGAUUUAAUGUUAUUUAUUAGUUCUUUGGAUUCAACUAGCUUGAUUGUAAGUGUGGUUGCGAUUGUUUUUCACUUGAAAAUAUAUCAAAAUAAUAUUUUUUUUAUUUUUUAAAAAUUAUUUUUGACAUCAGCAUAUCAAAAUAAUCUAAAAAUAUUAAUUCAAAGCAAAUAAAAAAUUAAAGAAUUUUUAAUUUUUUUAAAAAUAUUUUUAAAAUGUAAAAAUAAACAGGAGAAUAAUGCUUUUUUUUGGAUUCGCCUAUAUAAACCACAGCAACUAAAUGCAAUAAUGUUUGUAAAAAAAAUCAAUGAGAAACAUUAUAGGUGUAGAAACACCGAAGAUGCUAAAGAAACAAUAAUGGAUAAUCUGCUAAUAUUGUGAUAAUCUCCAUCCUUAUAUGAUAAAGGUUCAGAAAGAAUGCGCUAUGUGUUGCCUUUAGGAGACCUGAUUCGACUAUCUUAGUUAACACUGAAGGCAGGAGGCUCCCUUGAUUAGACGUUCA